rnacentral:lncRNA from 1 species
CGCGACCUUUCAGAACUGCGCUUUGGGUCAUUCAGAGUCCGGGAAAGUGUUACACUGGACCGGCGCAAGGACUUUCAAUCCGCGACGGGAUUUCAUGUUGGAUUUUGUGUCUGGCGUCAUUUUCAUUCAUACAUUAUUGAUUAUAUCACGUUUAUCGGACUUGCGCAGGUUAUAGGUUUUGUUACUAAAAUAGUCCUAUAAAUAUGAAGCAAAACUGCAAUGUGCCUGCUUUCCUCAGCAAACUAUGGACAUUAGUUGAGGAUCAUUCAACUAAUGAUCUCAUCUGCUGGAGUCAAAACGGCUGCAGUUUCUUAGUAUGCGACGAGCAGCGCUUCAGCAAGGAAAUCCUACCUCUGUACUUCAAACACAGUAACAUGACCAGCUUUGUGCGGCAGCUCAACAUGUAUGGCUUCCGCAAAGUCGUGCAAGUGGAAGCGGGACUGCCGCGGGGUGACGCAAGAGGAGACUGCGUGGAGUUCCAGCACCUUCACUUUCGGCAGACGCAGCCUCAUUUGCUUGAGCUCAUUCGAAGAAAGGUGUCGCUGAGCCGCAAUGGGGAUGAAGGCGUGCCGCCUCAGAUGUCACAGGUUCUCCUGGAGCUCGGCCAGGUGAGGGGUUGGCAGGACAAGUCUGACUCCAAACUGAUGGCGCUGCGUAGGGAGAAUGAGAGUUUGUGGAGGGAAGUUGACUGCCUGAGACAGAGGUACCAGCAGCACCACAAGAUUAUUCGCAAGAUCAUUCACUUUAUUGCCAGCACCGUCCAGUCCAAUGGGAUAACGGGAUUGAAGAGGAAGCUGCCGCUGAUGAUCGACGGCUCUGGCCUGUCGCACUCUCCGCCCAAAUACAGCCGGACCAUUAGCCUGGACGGCAGCCAGUCGGCCGCAGCCCUGCACGGGGUGCCACACGGAGAUCCUUGGGUGAGAACGCUGGAUCCAUUUGAGGAGCUGGGCUUCUCCAGCGGCAGCGUCUACACAAAUGGGAUGAUCAUCUCUGAUGUUACCGAUCUGCUGGACUUGCAGACGGAGGAGCUGGAUUGCAGCAGGACUAAAGCUGACGACUUGUCUGAGGCCUCUCCUGAAUCCAGGCUCUCCUCUUCAGCCGCACCCACGGUUGAAUUGGACCUCUCUCUCCUGGAGGACCCUGAGCCCGCAGAACCGGGGGAGAAUGCCUUAGACAGGAACGACGCGAGCGACCCGAUGGCUCUGAUCGACUCCAGUCUGGCGGCUAUGCGCUCCGGUUUACCUCUCUCCCCUGGGCCCGGCCUCGAUCUUCUCUCGGAGCUCUUCAACCCUGUGCUCGGCUCUCAAAGCGAAGACGCGAAGCCAGAGGUGCUGAAGGCGAGGCCAGGGCCUGACGCCUGGGCGGAGAAGCAACCGGACACUCAGACAGUUGCUGCUUUGGACUGGGUCACCAGCUGCAGGGAGGAGGAAGAGGAAGAGGAGGUGGAGGAAGGCUCUGACAUACUGCCUUCUUUGCUGCAGCUGGCAGAAGAGGCAUCUGAAUUUGCAUACUGCCCUACGGCGCUGCCUGCCGACCCCCUGCCCCUGGUCUAGCGGGCAGGCUACAAAUCCUUCCCCGAAAGAUACCGUUAUCUGUUUUGUAAUAACAAUGUCGUUGCUACAGCCAUAGUGUACAUCCUUCCUCGAUUCUCAAAGGUUAUUAGGCUUCUCGAAUAGUUGCGUAGUCAAAUUCGUGGGAUUUUCCGCGUGCUGUCGGAAAUGGCGCAAGAACAACAGUUUGAUUAGUUAUUUAUAAAUAGCUUAUUUAAAAUCACAGCAGUCAACUUGGGCAAACGGAAGCAGCCAUAAUGGUGUGAGUUUACGGUUGUUUCGGUUACCGCGCGAGAUGCUGCUCAAAUUUGAAACAUCUCGACUCGACAUGGAACAUUUUAGCAAUCGAACAUUACUACCAGAUUUAGUAAUAAUAAUAACAACAAUAAUAAUAAUGUGCUGGGGAAUACAAAGUUACAAGGAUGCUAUGAGGGACAGUUAUUGGCUAAUUCCAGCUGACAUGUAAUGCAUACUGUAUACAUUACACCUAAGAAUGUAUUUUUUUUUAGAAGGAAACAUUUAGAAAUUAAACAAAAAGGUGACUAGGUACAGAGAAGGAGAAUAUUUAGUCUUGGAGCGCGUUUGGGUUUUUAGCAGCCUGCGUGAUGUUGCUCAGUCCUCCAUAGUGCCUCUUUUUCCACAGACCUGCAGACUCGCAGUAACAGGUGUGCAGUACAGGUGUCUGGAUAUUUUUAGGGGCUUAAAUAUCACAGUUUAAAGGAGCAUGAGGAAAAAAUACACAAUGAACUUGCGGUGCAGUUUAAUUCAAUACUGUGUGGCGUUUUAGUUCAAGUACAUAGUGGAUGUAUAUUCCUCUUAUUUUGGUCAAUAAGUCAUGUUUAUAAACUUUUUAUUAUAUUGUAAAUUAUACGUACAAAAGACCGAUAGUCAUAAUUACUAGAUGAUUUCUGAGUUGUAUAUGGAUGAAUUUGCACUACUCUACUAAUGUAUUUUAAAUGAAUAUUGCACUUUACAUGUAUGUUUGCUGUACAGCGUCAGUUGUUUAUAGUUAAUUUUAAUGGAAUAUCUUUUCACAAGGGUGUCGUUUUCAGAAUAUAUUGUGCUCGUUACCUGUCAUCCAGCUGGUAGAUGCAGAAAAGCUCAAGAAUUAACCAUAGGACACUAAGAACUGUAAAAUACAUAAUCGGAAGUUUGUGCUUGUCGAACCUGUUUCAUUGGCUGAUGUGUUUACUUCCACUCCACAAAAGAACAUAAAAGGCCAUGCAAGUGGAAAUCAUGGAGCUUGUUUCUGCAGCGAUUGCAGAAUAGAUGCCGGAAAAGUGCUUCAGUUAAAAAUCCGGGGUUGCGAAUGUCCACGAGAGCGCUGUCUCUUAUUAAGUUUUGCCUUAAAUAGAAUAUUUUAUUCACGCAGCAGCUUUCAGUUCAAAAUGCCACCGCUGCUGAGAACAGGGACUGCCACUCAUAUCCCAAGUUAACCUUUUUUGUAUUGUGCCCUAUACAGAAAAGCAAACACUUAAGCAAAAAAAAAAAGAUAUGUAGCAAUAGAAGAACAAGACAGUAUUAAAAUCACUUACCAUCUGACAAAGGACUGAAAAUGGGAAAUUUAUUUAGAAAUUCAAAUACCACCAAUGCAGAGCAUCAUAGUGUUAUAUCCACCUUGUAGCCUGGGAAGAGGUUCCAUUUGUGGCACAGUGAGUAGUGCUGCUGUCGGGGACGUGGGUUUGAUCCCCGCUCAGUCUGUGUGGAGCUUGUGUGUUUCUCCCCGUGUCUGCGUGGGUUUCCUCUGGGUGCUCUGGUUUCCUCCCACAGUCCAGAGACAUGCUUUUCAGAUUCACCCACAGGGUGUGUGUGAGUGACAAAGAGUGUUUUUCACUGAUGUAUGGAUGAGUGACCCAGUGUAAGUAGUGCAUCUAGCAGUGUAAGUCACCGUGGUGAAUAAGGUGUGUGGGCUGAUGACACUACAUAGAGUUCGUUGGAAGUGGCUUUGGAGAAGAGUGUCUGCUAAAUAAAUAAAUGUAAAUGAACA